rnacentral:rRNA from 1 species
AUACAUGCAGUCGAGCGGAGAGAAGGGAGCUUGCUCGGGAUGUUAGCGGCGGACGGGUGAGUAACACGUGGGUAACCUGCCUGUAAGACUGGGAUAACUCCGGGAAACCGAGGCUAAUACCGGAUAGUUCCUUGAACCGCAUGUUCAAGGAUGAAAGACGGUUUCGGCUGUCACUUACAGAUGGACCCGCGGCGCAUUAGCUAGUUGGUGAGGUAACGGCUCACCAAGGCGACGAUGCGUAGCGACCUGAGAGGGUGAUCGGCCACACUGGGACUGAGACACGGCCCAGACUCCUACGGGAGGCAGCAGUAGGGAAUCUUCCGCAAUGGACGAAA